rnacentral:misc_RNA from 1 species
GUGAAUCAUCGAAUUUUUGAACGCAAAUUGCACUCUCCUCGGAGAGUAUGCCUGUUUGAGGGUCAGCCUAUAAAAAAUCGACAUCGUUGCUGUUUCGCGGUGGCGUUCGUCGGAAAUUGGGUCAUCUUAAAUCCUUUUGAUUUAAGCGACUUAAAAUUUUCUUUUGGUUCCAUGAACGUUUCUAGAUCUUUUUCCUUACCCGUUUCAGGUAUCCGUUUUUUCUUGACCUU